UUGUCCUACUGGAAUGAUAGCCCUGUAGAGUGUUUUGCAAAUGAUAGAAAUGCUAUAUGUCUUCACAGGUCCUCCAGAUGAGGAGUUUUCUAUUUCACCAUAUCUGUUCUGGGGGACAAAAAGGCAACUGAAUAGAGUCAACUCUUAAAUGAAUAUCAUUUACCACCUAGUCGUCUAUGCAGGCAAAGCACGCUUGGCCUGGGAAACAUCUAGACCAGCAUAACACCCUCCCCAGAGGCAGUCCCAGGGAAGAAAGAAAUUCUCACACCUACCAUGGCAGAAAACAUCGUGUCUCUCAAAGAUGUCCACACCUCAGUCCUCAGAACGUGAAGACACAUUACUUUAUUUGGCAAUAAAUAAAUAAAAAGACUGCAGAUGCGAUCAAGUUUCUAGUUCCAAGCGUAAUGCCUGAUGCACCAUAUUCGCGAAUAAAUAACUCAAGAAAGAAAAAUGACAUGAGCUACCAAAAUUCAGGGUGGACAAGAGGGAUGUAACCACAGAUAACACUCAUCUACCCAAUUUUGACACACGUACUCAAGUGCCAGAGAAGGAUCAAAGUCCAUCUGUCUAGAGGAGGUUUUGCCUGUCAAUCAAAUUUGUCAUUACUUGGAUUAAGUUGUUGAGAUGAUUAGCCUCUUGGAAAAUAACGAAGAUGGAAAUGCCAUAAUAAAUUAUUAUUAAUAAUAGGGAUUUGGGGCAAAUGACACUGUACCAGUAGAAACCCACAAUCUUAUUACUUAAGCUGCCUUCAGGCCUGGUGGAAAGAAAAUAUUCCCUGGGACGUAGUAGCUUCAUCUCUUUGGCCUCCUCCUGAGGCAUCCGCCCUAGUCAUCAUGAUACUGUCCCCGGGCCCUGGCGACCAGUGCCCUCAUGACUAAUUAAAAACUUGCAUCACAGCAAUGUUAAAGGGCUGGGAGUCCUUUCUCUUUCAAAGCAGGACUUCUGGCUCCAACUUCUGCACUUGGUGAUAUCAAGCUGAUUCAUAGCGUGGACAUAGGCUAUUUUUGGGCAAAGCCAACUCCAGCCUCUCACUCCCUACAGCUGGAACAAGAGCUGACCUUGAAUGACCUAGGUGGCAGACAUCAUGGCUUCUCUUAGGAAGUUAUUAGACAACAGUGAGGUGCGUUGCCUGCAAAGGACACAGAGAUACAAAAACCACAGGAAAUCUAGGCUCUCUCAAGAAAAGUGUUCUCACAUCCUCUGAAGAGGAACAGCCCUGACUUUUCCUCCUCUUUUCUCUCUGUCAGAAGUGGAAAAGAUUGGUGGGAGAAGCCGGAUGACAAGUUGCUUCUAAGCCUGUGCAUAAGAUAAGUAACAUCCUGGUAUACAUAUUUAUUUAUUUUUAGUUUUUUUCUGUUUGAAAGACACAUACAGGGGGAGAGAGAGAAAGAGAGAGAGACAAUGAGAGAGACACAGAAAGAGAUACACAGAGAGAGAAAUUCCUUACAUGGUUUCACUCUAAAUGCCUAGUGGGCCCAAAACAGAGACCACUCAGUCAGGAUCACCCAUGAGGGUAGCGGCAAUCCAAGUGCUUGAGCCAUCAAGCUGCCUCCCAUGGAGCCGAGUGCCUGAGCUGGGAACAAUCACAGGCACUCUAAGGUGGGACAGGGGUGUCUCAAUAGCUAGAUUAAAUGCCUGCUCCACCGAUUACCUCAAGAUAAGUCUGGUUACCUGGGAAGCUACCUGCUAAAAUCCUGUGUUUCCGUCUUAAAUCAUAUUGUCUAAUAUUGAGAGCAUUUUGGAAGGAAGGGAAUUGUAUAUCUAAUUGUAUGUGUAUCUCUCAGACUGGGUCAGUAUUUAGCAUAUAAAUGUAACUUAUUUUGUGUCCAGUGAGUGAAAGGAAAAUUUAAUUAUUUAGGAUCAUUAUACAUAAACACAUGAUAUCAAAUGUUCAUUGAAACAUGUGUUGUUUGUUCAUGAAUAACAGUACUAAAUGAAGAAACAAAGAAAGAGCAUAAUGAGCAGUCAUUCAAUUAUUUAUCCUCCUUUCCUUAGGUGGAAAUGCUCGAUUCUGUCCCCAGACGGCUGCCCUAAUUCUGACCUUGGCCUUAUUCCAGAGCACUUCAGCAGCCACCCUUGUAGCUUGUGCCUGGGGAGGAAAUUCAGCAGGAUGCUAGCUGCCUUCCCAGUGUGUCCUGGGACUCCUGAGUGCUGCCCAUCUCAAGGCUUCUCCUUUCAGCUCAUCAUUGACGCAGCUGACUCCGGUCUCCAGAUCCACACAUUGCUGUGUGCUCUUUCUUUUCUUCUUCACCUGGAGCCUCAGGGGACGGCGAAAUUAAGAGAGGAGGGGCUGUAGAGUUGAUAAGGAAAUGCUGAACACUGGAGGCUAAUGCAAGUUCCUCACUUUAUUUCUCAUGUCAUCUACUUAUUGAGGGAAGGAAAACUGAUUCGUGUUCAGGUAGUUUUGAAAAAUAAUUGUAAAGUAUUUUUUUCUUUUUUUAAACUUUUAUUUACUAAAUAUCAAUUUUGAAAGUACAACGUUUGGAUUAUAGCAGCUUUUCCCCCCAUAACCUCCCUCCCACCUGCAACCAUCCCACUCCCACUCCCUCUCCCAUCCCAUUCUUCAUCACGAUUCAUUUUGAAUUAUCUUUACAUACAGAAGAUCUACUUAGUAUAUACUAAGUAAAGGUUUCAACAGACUGCACCCACACAGACACACAAAGUAUAAAGCACUGUUUGAGUACUAGUUUUACCAUUAAUUCACAUAGUACAACACAUUAAGGACAGAGAUCCUAUAUGGGGAGUAAGUGCACAGUGACUCUCAUUGUUGAUUUAGCAAUUGACACUCUUUUUUUUUUUUAAUUUUUUUAACAGGUAGAGUUAUAGACAGUGAGAGAGAGACAGAGAGGAAGGUCUUCCCUCCGUUGGUUCACUCUCUUAAUGGCCACCAUGGCCGGCAUUGUGCUGAUCUGAAGCCAGGAGCCAGGUGCUUCCUCCUGGUCUCCCACGUAGGGGCAGGGGCCCAAGCACCUGGGCCAUCCUCCAAUCCUCCAGGGCCACAGCAGAGAGCUGGACUGGAAGAGGAGCAACCGGGACUAGAACCCGACGCCCAUAUAGGAUGCCGGCGCCGCAGGCCGAGGAUUAGCCAAGUGAGCCAUGGCGCCGGCCCCGACACUCUUAUUUAUGACAUCAGUAAUCACCCGAGGCUCUUGUCAUGAGCUGCCAAGGCUAUGGAAGCCUCUUGAGUUCAUAAACUCUGAUCUUUAGACAAGGCCAUAGUCAAAGUGGAAGUUCUCUCCUCCCUUCAGAGAAAGGUACCUCCUUCUUUGAUGGCCCACUCUUUCUGCUAGGA